rnacentral:lncRNA from 1 species
UUAAGAUCUAACUAAAGUGAUAUGAGCAAAGCCUUAAGGUGACAUGGAUUCCAGUCUCAAUUGGGUGGAAGUGUGAAAUUUAAAAAAUGAAAACAAAUAAUUAAAUAUUUUUAUUAUCAUAUAAAAUUAUGAGUACUUAUAUUACCACAGCAAAAUUUAAUUACAACAUCACAUUAUAAUCAUUUCACAAUUAAAAUAUAUUUUUAAUAAAUACACCACAAUAAAUUUACAAAUAUAUUCGGGGUUGUUUGAGCCUCAUUUUUUCUAAAAAAAUGCAUUUUGAAAUGGUGUUAUGAUGGAGAAUGUGUGGUUAAAAAAUAAGAAAAAUUUUUGAAUUUACUUGUAAUAUUAUUUUAUUAAAAAAUAUGUAGUUAAAAUAAUAUCAAAUUAUUUUUGUAGAAUGUAUUUUGAUAGAAAAAAUGGGGCCUAAUACAAUACAUACUAAACAUGAAAAACAAAAUAAAAUAUUGUGGUGUACUCAACCUCCCAAUUUUAUUCAUCAUUUUUCUCUAUCUGUUUUGUCCUAUUUGAUUAGAUCAUAUUGUUGGGGAGAUCCUAUGUUUCAAUAAGUGGUAGUAAGCAGGGGCGGAUCCAGAUGGUUCGAACUGUGGGAUCUAAAAUGAUACAUAUACAAAUCCAAACCCUACAUUAACAUACCUUUUUCAAAUUUUCACAGUAGCAAGGGCCAACCGGCCAAGGGUUGAGCCGUUGAGGCCUAAGGGAUGGUCGGCGAUGGAAGGCUGUGGUGAACUCAACUGGCGAACUCACGAACAAAAAGGAAAAAUCGGUGGUUUGCUGUUCAUGUUUACACUUUGGGAAGAAUUAGUAAAUGGACAUGGAUUGGGAACGGGUCAAUGGGAUUACAUAGGGCUGGACAUGGUCUGGUUCGGUUCUAACGAGAACUGAACUGACCCGAAAUUUUCGGGUAUUUAGUAAGUGGAACCGUCGGAUCAAAAUUUAAUUACGGAACCGUUCGGGUUCAGUUCGAUUUGAUCCGGUUCGAUUCCAUUCGAUUCCGUAUUAUAAUUAAAUUUUUUAAUAUAUAUAAAGUUACGUUAAUUUAAUUAAUGAUAUGUUCAAUAUUAGCUCUUACAAAAUAACGUGGUUCAAUCUUAUGUGUUUCACGUCUCUCUUUACUGAAUUCUUCAUAAAUUUGAUUAUUAUCACAAAAAGAGAAAGAUAGCGAGCUCAAAAUAAUUAAGAGAGAUGUUGUAGAGCUUUAAUUCGAUUUUCUCCGAUAGAAACGACACUACAGUAGAUAACAGAUUUGGAUAAAAUUGAUGUCAAUUUGAUUAAGUUGAUUUUGAAUUGAAAAUUAGAAAUAGGAAAAUCAUAUUUUAUGGUUUGAACUAAAUUAACUAGUUAACAAUUUUAUUUAGAAAAAAUAAAAUAAUUUUACUUAUUUAAAAUAAAUUAAUUAAAAAACUACGGAGAUUCGGUUCUUCGGAUCUUGGCCUAGAAUCGAGAAUCGAACCAUAUCCGUCGGUUCUUGAUUCAAAUACCCGUUCGGGUAUUUAACUUGAGAAGAACUGUCGGGUUCACUUCGGGAGUUUUGUCACAAAACCCUACAGUUAAAAUCUAGGGUUCAAAAAUAAGAGGAGUAGUUUAACAUUUCAAAAAUCAGAUUUUUUAUAUUUAAAUAUUAAAUAUUAAUUAUUUAAAUUUCAUUCUCUCACCUAUCUUCUCUCUCCAAUAUAAUUAAUUUCUCUCUCCACUUUAUUCUCUCACCUUUUUUUAAUUAAACAUGUAAUAUAUAAAAUAAAUACUAAAAAAUAAAUGGAUAAACUUCAAACCCUAGAAAUUAUUCAACCGUUCCCCCUUCUCAAUCUUCUCUCUAUCAACAUGUCCGGCGCCACCACCAAUUUCGGCGACGAUCAUUCUUCUUCUUUGCAUAACCGUCGUGUUGCGCCACCAUCGCUCAGCCUCGUUUUGUGUUGAACAAUAUCUCAGCAAUCCCCACCACUACUAUCGCGAUAUGAAGUAGCAGCGACGACAGUCAUCUUCCUUCUUCUUCGUUCUUUCAUCGGCAGGUGCUUGAUUUCGCCGCGCACAGCGAGAUUUGUUGCUGUGCGCUGCGAGCAGAGAUGGAUUUUGUGGUUUAUGGUUUCUCUUUUUGGGAUGAAUUUUGUGGUGGUUUUUGGUUGUUCUGUGGUAAUUUUUUAGGUGGUGGUGUGUUGGUGGUCAUGCGUGGUGUGCAAGGCCCUGUGAUAUGGUGAUGUCGCGAUUGAUAGCUGUUGGAGUUCGGUGUAUGGUGGCAGUGUGGUUACCAUGGUGGUGAUUUUGCAUUGAUGUGGUGGUUGCUCUAGCAAUGGUUCUCAACAAACUGACAGUGGCCGUGGUGUGGUGGUUGGGGGGGGGGGGGGUAGAUGGGAUGUUGGUGAUUUUGUAUCUGGUUGGUUGUUGGUGGUAAGGUGGUGCUAGUUGAGGGGUGACGGCAGUUGGGACGUCGAUGCGGCUGGCGGCAGUGGUGGGGUUGCGGUCACAUAUGAUUUAAUCUGUGACCAGUAAACAAUGUGUGACUAGUGAAAAAGAGGAAUCGUGACUAAGAAAUAACAUGUGACCUAAAAAAUUAUUAAAUUUGUGACUGUUAAUAAAUUGUUAUUUAUAAUAUUUUUAAUUUGUGACCAAUAAAUAAAUUAUUGUGACGUAUAAAUUUUUUGAUUCGUGACAAAUGAAUAAACUGUGACCUAUUAAAUUUUUGAAUUGUGACCGUAAAAUAAUUUGUGAUACAUAAAAAUUUUGAUUUGUGAUCGAAAAAUAAUGCAUGGUUAAUUAAAUCUUGAAUUUGUGACCAAUUAUUAUUAUUAUUAUUAUUAUUAUUAUUAUUAUUAUUAUUAUUAUUAUUAUUAUUAUUAUUAUUAUUUGUGACCUUAAUAUUAAAUAAUCCGUGGCUUACUGACUUUAAUUCGUCAUAUGAGAUAUGAAUUGUAAGAGCUGGAUCAAAUCUAUAUCCUUUAUUCCUUGUCUGACCAAUCAAUUGCAAUUUUGGAAGGUGAAUUUGUUAUGACAGAGUCCAGCAAUUAAUGGUAAGUUGAUGCUAAAUUGUAGGAAUUGAUUGAUAUAUACAUUAAUACAUAUAUUUCUGAUUUUUGAAAGUUCAAACAUGUCAUCUUUGAUUUGAAAUAUCCUAUACUUAUGUUUUGGGUUAUGAAAUUUUCCCUUACAUCUAUGGACUAUGGAUAUGGACCAUAUGAUAUGGAUAUAGAUUUAGGAUUUGAGCUUUUUGGACAUUGGGUUAGGGAAAUUAAUUGGGUUGGCUGUUGGCAGUGGCAGACUUGGCACUGAUAAGACUGGAAAGUUACGUUUUCAGCAGAAGAAAAAAAAUUUUCAAAAAAUUGUGAGGUCAUUUGACCCCACAUGAUCCCAUGUGGAUCCGCCCCUGGUAGCAAGUCUCCAAGCAUUAGACCUGUUAAAAUGAUUAUUGCUUAGAUUGACAUUCUUGAGCAAAAAACACAUUGACAAAUUCCCUGUAAAUUUUUCUACGAACUGAUUGCCGGAAAGAUCCAUAUUUUGAACAUAUGGGAACCGGAAAAUCUUCUCAGAUAAUUUUCUAGACAAAUUCUUCCCUGAGGGCUCGAUUUUUGCUGCAUGGGACGAAUCGUAACAAAUAACUCCAUUCCAUUUGCAGAAAGGGAAAGAGGAAUUUCGGGUGUCCAGAGACAAUAAAGGAUAUAUCUAUAUAUUUUUUUGGUGUCCGAAUCAGCUUACGCGCACCUCGACUAAUCUCACAAGGUCCUGAAAUUUUCAGCUGACUUGUAAGUCCUGAAUAUUGCUAUGUGCUCGUGUCUAACCGUCUAUCACAUUCAUUUCAGGAAAAAAAAUGCAGAAAAGGAAUGAGAAUUCUUAGCCUACAAGCAUUUGUCAAAGUUUUAUGAACUUCAUUUUUUUGUAUUUGAGUCAUCCCACAUCUCGUCAAUCUGUUGAAGUUCCCAUUGACGAAGGUUCGUAUAUAAUCAAUGGAAAAACUUCCAUUAGGACAUCAAUUGUUUUUCUUUUCAGGCAUAAAUUGCUUAUCGUCUGGAGCUUACAGAAAGGCCCGAAUAUUGCUAUGUGCCUGUAGUGGCAAUAUAUUUAUCCUAAAAUUAAUUUUUCUGAAAUUUUUUUCUUCAACCGAACUCAAUCUGGUUGUCGGUACGUAGACUAAGAAAAUGAGAUAAAGUUGCUGAUUAAUAAGGACUUGUAACUGAACAAUGACACCAAUUUUCUGUUGAACAUCCUUUUGAUUGUUAUUUGAGUAGACGAAACGUCCUUCUCAUCUAUCCACCACCCGUCUAAUUUAUCAAUUGUAUCCUUCACAAAUUCCUUCCUCUUAAAAAUUCCCUCAGAAAACCCUCUUUUUUCCUUUUUAAUUUAUCCUUGUGAAGGCUAUUUGAGAUGCCGCUUUGUUUAUAAAGAAAUACUUCGAUUUUUUUGGAGCCGCUUCAGGCCGAUAACAUUGCGGAUUUGCUUUAUUUUUGCUCAUCUCUAUAUAGUAACGAUAAUGUCAACCCCUUGAGAUCGUUGCGAGACCUGAAUUAGGCCUCGGUUGAGAGGCAUGGAAGAUGUUGUUCGUGCAACUUGUUGGAAGAAUUUUGUGAAUAGUGACG